GACGAACGCUGGCGGCGUGCCUAAUACAUGCAAGUAGAACGCUGAAGGAGGAGCUUGCUUCUCUGGAUGAGUUGCGAACGGGUGAGUAACGCGUAGGUAACCUGCCUGGUAGCGGGGGAUAACUAUUGGAAACGAUAGCUAAUACCGCAUAAGAGUAGAUGUUGCAUGACAUUUGCUUAAAAGGUGCAAUUGCAUCACUACCAGAUGGACCUGCGUUGUAUUAGCUAGUUGGUGGGGUAACGGCUUAACAAGGCGACGAUACAUAGCCGACCUGAGAGGGUGGACGGGCAAACUGGGACUUGGACACGGCCCAGACUCCUUCGGGAGGGAGGCGUAAGGAAAUUUUGGCAAUGGGCGGAAGGCCGAACGGGGAAAGCCGGGUGAGUGAAGAAAGUUUUCGGGUCGGAAAGCUCUGUUGUAAGGGAAGAACGAGUGUGGGAGUGGAAAGUUCACGUUGUGACGGUAUCUUACCAGAAAGGGACGGCUAACUACGUG
rnacentral:rRNA from 1 species